rnacentral:rRNA from 1 species
AACCUUUUGAGAUCACUCCAAACCCCAAUGUGACGUUACCAUCUGUUGCCUCGGCGGGAUUCUCUUGCCCCGGGCGCGUCGCAGCCCCGGAUCCCAUGGCGCCCGCCGGAGGACCAACUCCAAACUCUUUUUUUCUCUCCGUCGCGGCUCCCGUCGCGGCUCUGUUUUAUUUUUGCUCUGAGCCUUUCUCGGCGACCCUAGCGGGGCGUCUCGAAAAUGAAUCAAAACUUUCAACAACGGAUCUCUUGGUUCUGGCAUCGAUGAAGAACGCAGCGAAAUGCGAUAAGUAAUGUGAAUUGCAGAAUUCAGUGAAUCAUCGAAUCUUUGAACGCACAUUGCGCCCCGCCCAGUAUUUCUGGCGGGCAUGCCUGUCCGAGCGUCAUUUCAACCUCGAACCCCUCCGGGGGUCGGCGUUGGGGUCGGCCCUCACCGGGCCGCCCCCGAAAUACAGUGGCGGUCUCGCGCAGCUCUCCUUGCGCAGUAUUUGCACACUCGCACGGGAGCGCGCGCGCCACAGCGGUAAACACCAACUCUGGAAUGUGAACUCGAUCAGUAGAUACCGCUGACUUAGCAUAUCAUAAGCGGAGAA